UACGUAGGGGGCAAGCGUUGUUCGGAUUUACUGGGCGUAAAGGGCGCGUAGGCGGCAAUUCAAGUCAGUUGUGAAAUCUCCGAGCUUAACUCGGAACGGUCAACUGAUACUGCUUUGCUAGAGUACAGAAGGGGCAAUCGGAAUUCUUGGUGUAGCGGUGAAAUGCGUAGAUAUCAAGAGGAACACCUGAGGUGAAGACGGGUUGCUGGGCUGAUACUGACGCUGAGGCGCGAAAGCUAGGGUAGCAAACGGG
rnacentral:rRNA from 1 species